AUUGAACGCUGGCGGCAUGCCUUACACAUGCAAGUCGAACGGCAGCACGGGAGCAAUCCUGGUGGCGAGUGGCGAACGGGUGAGUAAUAUAUCGGAACGUGCCCAGUGAUGGGGGAUAGCCCGGCGAAAGCCGGAUUAAUACCGCAUACGACCUACGGGUGAAAGCAGGGGAUCGCAAGACCUUGCGUCAUUGGAGCGGCCGAUAUCAGAUUAGCUUGNGGUGGGGUAAAAGCCUACCAAGGCGACGAUCUGUAGCUGGUCUGAGAGGACGACCAGCCACACUGAGACUGAGACACGGCCCAGACCUCCUACGGGAGGCAGCAGUGGGGAAUUUUGGACAAUGGGCGCAAGCCUGAUCCAGCCAUGCCGCGUGCGGGAAGAAGGCC
rnacentral:rRNA from 1 species